ensembl:snRNA U1 U1 spliceosomal RNA
AAAAUUACCUGGCAGGGGAGAGACCAUGAUCAUGAAGGUGGUUUUCCCAGGGCAAGGCUCAUCCAUUGCACUCCAGAUAUGCUGACCCCUGUGAUUUCCCCAAAUGUGGGAAAAUGGGCUUCAAAAUUUGAGGUAGUGUGGGACUGCAUUUGCGCUUUCCCCUG